AAACAUUGUCUUAUGAACAAAAUAUUAGAUAAUACCUGCCCAGUGACAAUAUGUUCAACGGCCGCGGUAUCCUAACCGUGCAAAGGUAGCAUAAUCACUUGCCUAUUAAUUGUAGGCUAGAAUGAAGGGGUUAACGAAAUAAAAACUGUCUCAAUUAAUUAACUAAAAAUUAUUUUCUAUCCGAAGAAAGGUAGAUAAUCUCGAAGGACAAGAAGACCCUAUAGAGCUUAAUUUUAAAUAUAGAAUUAUACUAUAUAAAUAUUCGGUUGGGGCGACCCAGGGCUAAUUAAUCACCUAUUAAAUAAAAGAUAUAUAAAUCUAAUAAUUGACCCUUUUAAGAUCAUAAAAACAAGCUACCUUAGGGAUAACAGGCUAAUCCCACUUAAGAGUCCUUAUCAAUAGUGGGGUUUGGCACCUCGAUGUUGGCUUAGGGUAUCUCUAUAGCGCAAAAGUUAUAUAAAGAUGGUUUGUUCAACCAAUAACUCCCUACGUGAU
rnacentral:rRNA from 1 species